rnacentral:tRNA from 1 species
AGAAGAAUUUAGUUUAUUUGUAAAAUGUUAGAUUGUAAAUCUAAAGAAUUUAUUCUUG